rnacentral:rRNA from 1 species
GACAGAGGGUGCAACCGUUGUUCGGAAUUACUGGGCGUAAAGCGCGUGUAGGCGGUUAUGUAAGUCGGGCGUGAAAUCCCACGGCUCAACCGUGGAAGUGCACCCGAAACUGCGUAGCUAGAGUCCUGGAGAGGAAGGUGGAAUGCUUGGUGUAGAGGUGAAAUUCGUAGAUAUCAAGAGGAACACCGGUGGCGAAGGCGGCCUUCUGGACAGUGACUGACGCUGAGACGCGAAAGCGUGGGGAGCAAACAGG